AUUGAACGCUGGCGGCAGGCCUAACACAUGCAAGUCGAACGCGUGGCGGACGGGUGAGUCAUGUCUGGGAAACUGCCUGAUGGAGGGGGAUAACUACUGGACACGGUAGCUAAUACCGCAUCCCAUCGGAUGUGCCCAGAUGGGAUUAGCUUGUUGGUGGGGUAAAGGCUCACCUAGGCGACGAUCCCUAUCUGGUCUGAGAGGAUGACCAGCCACACGGGAACUGAGACACGGUCCAGACUCCUACGGGAGGCAGCAGUGGGGAAUAUUGCACAAUGGGAGCAAGCCUGAUGCAGCCAUGCCGCGUGUGUGAAGAAGGCCUUCGGGUUGUAAAGCACUUUCAGCGAGGAGGCGUUACUCGCAGAAGAAGCACCGGCUAACUCCGUGCCAGCAGCCGCGGUAAUAC
rnacentral:rRNA from 1 species